rnacentral:lncRNA from 1 species
AAAAAAAAAAAAUCACUUACAUCGAUAAAUGAGACCAAAUAAAUAAAACACAAAUUUGUUAAUAAACAAUAAAAUGGUCAAGGCAAUAAUAAAAUGCCCAGACGGUUUCAGAUUUUACAAACAUGAUAUUAGAAUGAGGAGCAAAAAAUGUUUCAACACACAAGCAAUGUCGCAGUCGCCUUUCAAUUAACCAAAACGUGCGCCAACUCCAUGACUAAAUCAACGGUAGGUAAUUGUGAUUUUAGAAGCUGUAGAACACCACAUUAAUUUAGAUGGGGACGACAGACUUUCAUGACAUAAAAUAUUAGAAUUGCAUAGCCAAGCAGGCAAUCCUGUAAACAAUGAUAUUUGGGUUUCGGAAAAAGGCAAAGUCAUUUGUGUAACAGAAACAAUUUGCUAGAACAAAGGAAUUUCUAACAGUCUUGAACAUGAGCAAAAUUCAGUCAGUUCCUUCUCAAAGGUGCCCUUAAACAUUUCAGACAAGUAAAUGAUAAAGAUCCUUACCAUAGGUCUAUUGGCAAGGCCAUAACUGGCCUUGUAUACAAACUAGUUGUCCACAAUGGUAGAACCAAUUUGAAUAUAGGAAAGGUUGAAAGAUGAGCCAAAUGAAUCAAGUGAUGAUUUCAGCUGGCAGUGGAAGCUCCUCCAAUGUGCAAGAAAUUUCAGUGAUUUGAAAUUGUAUUUUGAGCACAUCAAAUGGAAAUUGAGAUCUCAAUUUGUCAAUACGUAACAGAUUGAGACAAAGCUGUCUUUGUGUGAAGAUGGAAAGACUGGUCCAAGUAUAGGAGGUGUUGAAGUGAUGACUUUGGUAGCCCAAAUAAAAUACCGUUUCAGAGCAGCGAUUUUGGAAUUGAUGACUCUAGUUUCCAACCCCCAUCUCCGCUAUUGGGGGUUGAUGAUUUUUUCAACCCUCAUGGAGAUAGCACCACUGACUCCUUCUCUCAUUCUCAACCAACUAUAGUCGAGUUGAGUGCCCAAGUAGGAAAUUCCUGAUUUCCUACUGUAAAUAUAAAUAUGAAUUUAUUAUUUACUUGCUCAUUAAAGUUCUGUGUAUUAUAAAUAGCCCAAAAUAUAAAUAAUAAAAAAACCAUAUAUGAAAUGGACUUUAGAAACACAAACAAAACUCAUUUACAACAUAACAAAAAGACUUUUGACUUCUUUUAAAUUACAAAACUGUCAUUGAUUUCUUAAAACAAACCAAAUCUCAAAACCUCACAAAAAAACCCAAAACACUCAAUAGGGCAUCAAAGUAAUUUAAUAAUCAAAAUUAAAUUCAAUAGGGUCAGCUGUCAAUUUUUGGGUUUUUUUUUAUAUAAACUAAAUGGUGUAGGGUUUAUUUAUAGUUUUAGUUGCUAAGAAUGGAUAUAUAACUAAAUAUCUCUUAUAAAUAUGAUCUCGUAUAAAAGAGAAAGAUACACAAAAAAUUCCCACAAACAAAUAUUCUAUCAUAAUUCUCAUAUUUUAGCAUUGUCUAAAAACUCUAGACCAACAGCAACAUAGCUGCUCCUGAAGGAGUCAAAUGUCUUGCAGAAAUGGAAGUGGAUGGUGAUCUGUGGCGGAUCUACGUACGGUCCCUCUCUCUCUUUUUUUAUAUUCUUUUUCUUUUCCUUCUCUCUCCAACUCUCCACUCUUUUUUGUUUUUGUUUUUUUUGUUUUUGUUUUUUGUUUUUAUUUUUAUUUUUUUUCAUAUUUGUUUUUCUUCCGCUCUCCACUCCAGUCCAUCUCUCAAAUUCUCAAGUGAUCAGUGGCAGGUGCUAUUUUAUAAUUUCACGAAGAAGAGAACAAAGAGGUCCAAUUGAAGAUGGGACACCGCCCAUUAAAAAAACAGCUGUAAACAUGAAAGCAAGAGCUAAUUGACAAAAAUGAAAAUUUCUUGCAUUAUUACGGAGAGAGCCUAAAGUGGUCAGUCCUCAAAACAAAAAGGGACAAAGUAAUUGAAAGUUGCGACACGUACAUUAUGACAACAAAGGUAAAGUGAAUCCCUUUUCUUUUCUUUUUUCCUUUUUCGGUUACCCAAAUGAACUGCUUCCCUUCUCUCUUUUUUUUGGGCACAAAGCAGGGCCAAGAGCCUAAAACCAAACAAUUACGUAGGGAUUAACCUGGGACUAGGGGUACUGCUAAUAUCAGCAGCAAUAAUAUCAUUAAGGAAGGGGGGCUCCAACUCCAAAACAUGAAGGCCUAAAGGGAAUUCAUAGCUCGUGGCAGCUAACGCAUCAGCAGCCUUAUUUUGUUCACGGUAGACAUGGGAUAGGGAGCAUGACCAAUCACCAUGCAGCUGUAAAUUACAGCAGUUGAGAAGACUAAGGUAGCGUAUGGUAGUGUUUAAUUUUUUUUUUUAAAGCAGCUUUAAUGAAAAAAUUGUCGUGGGUUGGGUAUUUGGUAAACAUCAGGAAUCCUGCUUGUUUUUUUAAUUGCGGUUAAUGACUGCUGUUUCUUCAAAGCUCUCUCCAUCCAGGUUCUAAAAGCUGCUUCAAAAAAAUAAUAAUAAUAAUAAUCAAUGGUUUUAAUGAAUUUUUUACUUUCUCAUAAUGCCCUCAUUUAUUUUUUACAUGGACACUCCUUAUCCCUCCAAUUACACAACUCCCAUCUGCAAAAUCCUUCAUUCUCCUCUUCUUCUUUUUCUUCUUUUUCUUCUUUUUCUUCUUUUUUUUUUUUGGUGAAAAAGGAAAUUAUUGAUAACAAUUAAGAGGACACAAUAAUAUCAUAUUUUACAAUUGACGCCAGCCAGAAGGGAACCUUGUAAAGAAUGUUUAGUUGAAAGGUUUUGUUGUAUUGUCAAUAGUAGAGUACAGCAAAAUAUAUACUACCAAUAUUACAGAAUCUCCGUAGCGUGAUCCCCAAUCCUAGGAAUUGAUUUGGAUCUGUCCACCUAUAUCAAGUAACUACUCUAUGUAUGGUUAUAAUUAACAUAUUACAAUAAUAACAUAUCAAUUACAAUAUAUUAUUCUAAUACUCCCCCUCAAGUUGGAGAGUGAAUGUCAUGAAGUCCCAACUUGCUGCUUAAUAUGGUAUAGUCGUUCUUUCCCAAAGGCUUCGUAAAAAUGUCUACUAACUGAGCGUGGGAAGGAACAUAUGAAGGAGUGAUUAGUCCGGCAAGCAGCUUUUCUUGAACAAUGUGACAAUCAAUCUCAAUAUGUUUGGUGCGCUCGUGGAAUACAGGGUUAGCAGCAAUAUAUAAAGCAGCCUGAUUGUCACAGUAUAAUGGAGCCGGGUUAACCUGAGGGACUCUCAGAUCAUGUAGUAUGUAUCGUAGCCAAGUGAAUUCCAAACAAGCGUUAGCCAUGGCUCGGUACUCUGCUUUUGCGGAUGAAUUAGAAACAUGUUGUUGCUUUUUGGAUUUCCAUGAGAUGAGAGAAUUUCCCAGAAAAAUACAAAAACCUGUGACAGAUUGUCUUGUGGUACGGCAUCCGGCAUGGUCUGAAUCACAAUAAGCUCUCAAAGCAAGAUUGUUUGAUGCAGGAAAUAAUAAGCCUUGACCUGGAGAAUUUUUGAUGAAUCUGAGAACACAGAGUGCUGCAUCCCAAUGUGGUUUUCUAGGCUCAUGCAUAAAUUGACUCAAUGUUCGAACUGAAUAUACUAUGUCGGGCCUUGUUACAGUGAGGUAGAUCAAGUGUCCCACUAACCGUCAGUAUUUCAUAGGAUCAUUGAGUAAAGCUCCAUCUGUGGGUGUGAGUCUGAGAUUUUGCUCCAUUGGAAACUUAUCUAGGCGAGAGCCUAAGAGACCGGCAUCUUGUAAUAUGUCCAAAGCGUAUUUCCUUUGAGACAUGUAAAUACCUUUCUUGGAACGAGAGAACUCAAUACCAAGAAAUAUUUUAAAUCACCAAGGUCCUUGAUGCGAAAAUGCUUGAUGAGAAAAGAUUUGAGAUGCUCCAUUUCUUGCAAAUCAUUCCCUGUGAGAAGUAUGUCAUCCAUAUAAAUAAGAAUUGCUGUAAAAGAAUUAUUUCGAACCUUGGUGAACAAUGAGUAAUCGGAUUUUGACUGCUGAAAGCCUGCCUGUUAAAUAGCACCAAAAAAUUUGGAAAACCAGUUCCUGGAAGCCUGUUUAAGUCCAUAAAGGGAUUUAUUGAGCCGACAUACAGUAUUCUCCCCCUGUCGGACAAGUCCGGGAGGAGGGUCCAUGUACACGACUUCGUGCAAAUCGCCAUGGAGGAAGACAUUCUGAACAUCUAAUUGAUGGAUGAACCAAUUACGAGUAGCCGCAACAGUGAGAAGACAACGCAAUGUGGUGAGUUUGACUGUAGGAGAUAAUGUUUCCUGGUAAUCAAUGCCUUCCACCUGUGUGUAGCCCUUGGCCACAAGACGGGAUUUGUAACGAUCAAUGGUGCCAUCAGAUUUAUAUUUGAGUUUGAAAACCCAUUUACAACCAAUGGGUUUGUGUCUAGGUGGCAAUGGGACAAGAGUCCAUGUAUUGUUUUGUGCCAAAGCAUCUAAUUCUGUUUGCAUGGCCUGCUGCCAAUUGGGAUCAAGGAUGACUUGAGCAUAACUAGUGGGUUCAGUGGUGCCUGAAAUGUUAGCUAAAAAGGAAUGAUGGGGUGAUGAAAUGCGAGAAUAAGACAAGAAAUGAGAAAGUGGGUAUUUUGUACCUGUAACAGUAGAUGGCGAUCAGGCAGAUGAAGAGGCAUGGUUGGACAUGUGAUAAUGUUGGUGCCAUGCGGGAGCCUGCCUUGGACGAGUGGAAUGACGUGUUGGAGCCAUGGGAGAUGAAUGAGGUGAGCUAAGUAAUGUUGGUUCAGAUGGAAAAUGAAGAAGUGGCAAGGUGUGGUCAGAUGAAUGGGAGAUAGGUGAAGUGUUGGGGACCACUUGACUGGUUGUGGCGGGGUGGGGUUGUGGAGAGGAAGGAGUGAUGCUGGUAGGAAGCAGGUUGAGGUGGGAUAGUGGAGAAAGGAAAAAUAUGUUCAUGGAACUGAACAUCUCUAUUAACGAAAAAUUUGGAGGUGUGCAGAUCAAAAAGUUUAUAGCCCUUUUGUCCCAUGGGAUAGCCAACAAAAAUACAAGGUGUGGCACGGGCAUCGAAUUUUUGUAGGGGAUGAGUCACAGUAGCAUAACAAAGGCACCCAAAAACUCUAAGAUGGUUAAGGGUUGGUGGCUGGUGAUAGAACAACUCAAAGGGGACUUAUUGGACAAUAAUGGAGUGGGCAAACGAUUGAUGAGAUAGAGAGCAGUUAAAACACACUCCCCCCAAAAAUUGAGAGGUAAAUUGGCUUGGAAACGUAGAGCGCGGGCAACAUUGAGAAUGUGACGAUGUUUGCGCUUAACAACUCCAUUUUGUUGUGGAGUGUGAACACAGGAUCGUUGAUGUGCAAUUCCAUUGGUUUGCAAAAACUCUUUCAUGGAUAAAAAUUCUGAACCAUUGUCAGUGCGAAUGACUUUAACAUUGAAAUUGAAUUGAGUUUUGACAAAAGUAAGAAAAGAUUUUAGAAGAGUUUGUGUUUCAGAUUUGUGAACCAUCAAGAAAAGCCAAGUGCAUCGAGUAAAGUCAUCAACAAUUGUAAGAAAAAAAACAAGCUCCCGAAUGAGAGGCUAUUUUAUGUGGACCCCAAAUGUCACAAUGUAAUAAGUCAAAUGCUGAACGCAAUGAAAUAGAACUUAAUGGAAAAGGAAUUCUUGUUUUUUUAGCCAUAGGACAAAUGCCACAAUUAUUGUCAACAGAAACAAUUUUUGAAGGAAGCAAUGAAGAAAGUAAUUGAAAAUGAGCAGGUGAAGGGUGUCUGAGACGAAGGUGCCAUAAAUUGGAGGUUUGUGACACUUGACCGGAAACAGGUAUCCUUGGCAAAGGCGACAUGUAAUAUAGACCACCACGUUGUUUACCCAUACCAAUCAUCUUCCCGAUAGCCAAGUCCUGUAAGACACAAAAUGUGGGAAACAAAAAAACACAACAAUUGAGUGAGUCGGUAAUUUUACUGGCUGACAUUAAAUUCAAAUGAAAGGAAGGAACACACAAAACAUUAUCUAAGGUGAUGGUGUUAUUGAAAGGAAUUGUGCCAACUGAAGUAAUUGGUGCGGAAGAACCGGUGGGUAAGUUAACAAUGGGAGUGUGAGAUGGUUGCGUUUUUGUGAAAAGUUUAGAAUCAGAUGUAAUAUGAUGUAACACCCCGAUUCCCAAUUAAGUGUCUAUUUUAAUUGAUUUAAAUGAAUUACGAAUUUACCCUUGGGGUAGGGGUAAAUUGGUCAUUUUCUUAUCCGGAAGGAUUUUGGGACCACGAAUGGUAUUUUUGGGUAGGUGGUACUGAGACGAAUUCGUAGACAUGCGGUAGGCUUGAAACGGAGUUAUAACGAAGAUUUGGCGAUCAAAACAUUAUCAGUGGCAAAACUGUAAAUAUUUCAAAAAGUUUGGUAAAAAUCAGAUUUUUUCACCUAAGCUCUCUCUCUCCUCGCACGCGCUCGACACUCUCUCUCUCUCCUCAGUCUCUCUCUCUCCCCGACACCGACCUUCUCUCUCUUCGUCUCUCUCGGCUCCGGCCACGGCAGGACACGGGACCGAUCCCUUUAGCUUCACCUCGACGUCCCGGUCAAGACCUGCUAGUUUUUCCCGUCGGAAAUCACAAACUCCGGCCACGAGCUUGACUGGUUUGAACGGGAGCUUUCCCAUCGUCGCGCCGCCGACUCCGCCGCCCAAACCCGGUGAGUGAGGUAUGGUUUCUCAUCCAUUUUUCGAGUUCUAGUUGAUUGUUGUAUAGGUUUGGACCGAUUUGUUGUCUAGAAAAUCGAUUAUAAAACCUAGGUUUUGGCCGGAUUUCAAAAUGAAAUUUCGGCCAGUUGCAACCCGGCGCGUGUGGCGGCGCGUGUGGCGGCAUGUGGGUGAGGCUGGUGAAGCUGCAAUUUAACCCGAUGAGAUCCUUAGGCUGUCACGAGCGCUUAGGAAUUCGCGGAUCUCAAUUCGGACAUCGUUUGACUAUCGAACGGAUUUUCGCAUAUUGUGCGUUAUCCGAGUUCGAUAGGUUCCGACGGUUAGAUCUUUUCUGAAUUAAAAUAUGUUGUUCUAGGUAUUCCUAGGACCGUAUGGGACUUCACGGAUUAUGAAUCGGAGCCCCGGAUGUUCCGAUUCAAUAAUGCAAAGUUUGCGAGUUAGCGAUAACCAUAAAAUCGUGAACGAUUCCUAAACCUGUAAUCGGACCUUAGGAUACCUUCUUCAACAUGCACGUACUGGGAAUUUGGGGAUUUAAGCAUUUUAAUUUGUGAUUUCCGCUUCGACGUAAUUUUAUAUUAAUGAAAGGUUCGUAUCUCGAAAUAGGUGUUUCGAUUGCACGUACUCAGCAGGCAGGACCCUCACGUGGUCAAGCAGCGUGUGAAUAUUUGUGAGUGGACUUUGUUUUCAAUCAUAUGCAUGGUUUUAUUGAUGAAAGAUUUAUGCAUAAUGUUUUAAUGGCUUAUUGAAUAUAUUAUAUUCAUGAGAUGAAUUUGAAUGUUAUAUAGCGCUUUGGCAAUAUAUUGUGAGUUUGGCAUUUUAGGUAUUGAGAGUGUAUUUUUAUAAGGAUUUUGGGGAAGUAUAUAUAUAUAUUCUCUAUAGGCGCGAUACUUGGGUUGUUGAAAUGUAUUGUGAAAGAACUUGAUUCUGAGGGUUUGUUGAGAGAAGUUAUAUGAUUACACUAUGUAAGUACCUUCCCCAGUUAUUAGACUUUCCACAUGCGGCGUUGGAUGUUCCGGCGUGUGAGACACUUUCCAUAUGCGGCGUUGGAUGUUCCGGCGUAUGGAAAGACUCUGUAUAGUGUUUAAGGUCAUCACCCAUGGCGUUGGAUGUUCCGAUGUGUGAUGAUCCAGUCUGCGCAUGUAGGACAUAGUUUGGGCGCUACACAUGGCGUUGGAUGUUCCGGUGUGUGAGCUUUGGAGUUUCAUCCCCCGGUUCAACUGCUCAUCUCUAGACGCAGUAUAGCACUUAGAAUCCUGCGGACUAGUCAAACGAUCCCCCAGUUGGAUUGUUUCCCCGGUACCUAGGUAGUGUGAUGAGUUAUCGUAUAGCUACUUAUAGUUAUAUUUAUAUAUAUAUACAGUCCCAUUCUAUUGAGGGAUCCCUCAAAUAAUUUUAUUUGAGGGACGCCAUUUAGGGUACCCUACCAUUUUUUUCUCAAUGAUCCAAACCAUCUAUUUUUUAGGUCUUCAUUCAUAGAUCAUCCUUACAAAAAAUUAGACAAAUCGGAAACCGUUUCGACAUCCAAUUGUGUCCUACAAAAUCAAUAAACACGGUACUUCAAGAAAGUACUAAAAUUUUCAAUAACUCAAUAGAAUGGUCAUAUGAUAUCGGAUUCAAGUGAUUUUUUGUAGAGAUGAUCUUUGAAUAUGUAUAUACAAAAUAGAUGGUUUGGAUUAGUGGAAUACAAUCCGGAGUGGGCCCUACAAGGGGUGUCCCUCAAAGAAGCUUAUUUGAGGGAUCCCUCAAUAGAAGCUCUCUGUAUAUAUAUAUAUAUAUGUAUAUUUGUAUGUAUAUGUAUAGUUGAGUGAGUGAAGAAUUAGAGUUUUUUUCAGUGUUUGGCAGGAGUUGCAAGGUUGAGAGAAUGGGGUUUACAAAGGAGAUGACUUGUGUUUUGAAGAGUUUUAACUGAAUUAUGUUUUGAGUAAUUAAAUAUUGGAUUGUGAACCUGCAUGACUUGAGCAUUAUUUUUACACGGUGGGGUUACUAUAUUGUUUUUAACUGCAAAUCUGGUUUUUGUCCACUCACAUGUUUUCUGUUUUGCUCCCCCCAGCCAGUAGUCGCUCCAGGAAGCGUGCAAGUGGUGUACGAGGCUCGAAAUGUGAACCUUCCUAGUUAGGAUUUGAGUAAUUUCUUCUACUCAACUGUUCUUGUAAUCUAAAUUCAAUAGAUGCUCUGUUAUCGCCCAUGGUAGAUUUUACUUGUGAGGCCGGAUGCCAUUUUAGUAUGACUUGUUGAAUUAUGAAAGCAUGCUGCUGGAUGGGGUUUUUAUUUUAUGUAUGUUGCAGGUUGAAUUUUUUUGUUGGGUUUGCUUAAAUUACAGGGGAGACUCUGCCAAAAUUUUGGUAGAAAGUCUCGUUUUCUUAGUAAGUGGGCCCGGCAUCGGGAAGAUGUCGGAACAAAAACGGGGUCCGCUUCGAUUUUCGGGAAAUUCCAGAGCAGGUCCUGUCAUAUGAUCUAUAGCCCCGCUAUCCAAAAUCCAAGGUUUGCUAGAAACAGAAUUAAUUGAAGGGACAGUAAAGGUGGACAGACCUGCUGGUUAUUACCAGAGGAUGAUGCAUUGGUGUUGACUAGUGACAUGGCUGUGGCCAAUUGUUGAUAUUGCUCAGAAGUAAGUCCACUCAAGAAGGUCUGAGCAGAAAAGUCUGGAGCUUGAAUUGGGUUUUGUGAAGGCUGUGUGACACUUGAAGAGCCAGCUUGCUGUGCCGCGUGUGAGGAUGGGAAGGAUGAGCCCGCAUGUGGAACAAACCCAUGUGAUUGCUGCGUGAAGGUGCGUGUGUUACUACCGGAGAAACCAGAAUUUCUGCGUGAGUUGGUACCUCGAUUGGACCCUUGGUUUUCAUUCCUGGCAUGAUUUCCUUGUCCAUUUGAUGUGUAGGUUCCAUCCUUGAAAUGGCAAGUGUCUUCUGUAUGUCCGUUUCGAUUACAAAAAUUGCAAUGGAAUUUAAUUGCCUGCAAUCUGCAGUUACAUGACCAUUGCGAUCACAAUGAUCACAAUGUUUAUUUUUGGAAUUGUUUGGACGGCUUUGGAUAGCUACAGCAAUAGAAAAGUUCUCGGUUGUUCCCGAUGUCAUCUGUCGUUGUGUUUCGUCUUGAAUGACAAGUGAAUAAGCUUGACUGACUUUGGGCAAUGGUGUUAUCAUGAGGAUGUUGCUGCGAACGCCAUUGAAUGUGUCAUUAAGGCCCAUGAGAAAUUGCAUCAUCUUAUCUUCUUCUCUUUCUUCGUUGUGUGCUUUCAUCUCAUUGCAAGUGAGAGGAGUUCUGUAUGUCUCUAAUUCGUCCCAAAGGCCUUUGAGUUUUGUGAAAUAGGCUGAGACUGUCGUGGUGCCCUGUGUGAGAGAGGCGAUGGACUUCUGAAUCUAAUAAAUUGUUGGCGCAUUUUUUUGUGAGAAUUGGUCUUUGAAAUUGUCCCAUACUUGAUGAGCGGUCUUGGCAUGGACAACCCCUUUGGCUAGAUCGAGUUCCACAAAGUGAGCAAGCCAUGAUAAAAUCAUAUUGUUGCAUUGAUUCAAAAGAGCAUAUUCUGUGGGGUUUUCUGUUUCUGAUGGUGGCUUAAUGGAUCCAUUGACAAAGCCAAUUUUGUUCUUGGUUGUGAGAGCAUGAAUCAUGGAUUUACUCCAAGAUGGAUAAUUGGCGCCGUUCAAUUUUGUUGGAACGAGCAUAUGACCAGGGUGGUCUGAAGAAUGAACAUAGUAUCAAUUUGAUGUAUCCAUACCAGAAUUGCUGUUGCUAUUGCUUGAAUUUUUAGAAUUGCAUUUCAAAUUUUCUGGUGUUUGUUCUUUGUCUGACAUGGUGGUUGCAGGUUUGCUAGAGGGUUUUGAAAAGGUUAGGAAAUCUAGCACCAGGACGCAGCUCUGAUACCAUGUAAAGAAUGUUUAGUUGAAAGGUUUUGUUGUAUUGUCAAUAGUAGAGUACAGCAAAAUAUAUACUACCAAUAUUACAGAAUCUCCGUAGCGUGAUCCCCAAUCCUAGGGAUUGAUUUGGAUCUGUCUACCUAUAUCAAGUAACUACUCUACCUAUAUCAAGUAACUACUCUAUGUAUGGUUAUAAUUAACAUAUAACAAUAAUAACAUAUCAAUUACAAUAUAUUAUUCUAAUAAACCUCUUCAAUCCAAGUUACUAUAGUAUUACAAUUAAGUGCAUGCCUUGCUAGAAAAUGAACUACUUGAUUGCACCCCCUUUGACUGAAAGAGAUAGUAACAUUAUCAAAUUGUUGCAGAUUCCUCUUAAUGUCAUCAAUGAGAUGCCCAUCUGAUGCCCACAACUCUUCCUCAUCCUUCUUUACAUCAUUCACCACUCCUUGUGAAUCAGACUCAAUUAGAAUAGAAGAAAAGCUAGCAUCCCGAGUAAAUUUAAUCCCGAAAUGAAGUGCCAUGAUCUCUGCAUAUUUAGGUGAGGUGGCGGUGGCAAGAGGAAGGGCCAUAGCCGCCAUCACUUCCCCUUUGUCAUUUCUAACAACAUCACCAAUUCCACCCACACAUGUUUCGGGAAUAUAAGCAGUAUCAAUAUUCAGUUUAUAUUUACCAACGGGAGGAGGAGACCAUUUGGUUGGUUUCUCAACAUUUAUUUUAGGUUCAACUUUCACAAGAUUUCCAUAUUUAUCAACCAAGUAAAUAGCUCUUUUGAAAAUCGCCUCAUGUGCACAAGAACGAUGUCACAUCCCGGGAUCGACUCCCUGUAUAUUGUCCGCUUUGGGCCCCCCCUCUCUGGCCCUCACGGUUUUGUUUUUGGGAGCUCACGACUAACUUCCCAGUGGGUCACCCAUCCUGGGAUUGCUCUGGCCCCCAACUCGCUUAACUUCGGAGUUCCUACGACUCCGAAGCCAGUGAGCUCCCAAAAGGCCUCGUGCUAGAUGGAUGCAGGUGUGCACAAAUAAGCCACAUCACCCCCUCUCCGUUGGUUGAUGUGGGAUCUUACAAUCCACCCCCUUAAGGGCCCAACGUCCUCGUCGGCACACUCGCACCACACGGCAGAGUGGCUCUGAUACCAAAUUGUCACAUCCCGGGAUCGACUCCGCUGUAGCACGGUAUUGUCCGCUUUGGGCCCCCCCUCUCUGACCCUCACGGUUUUUUUUUGGGAGCUCACGACCAACUUCCCAGUGGGUCACCCAUCUUGGGAUUGCUCUGGCCCUCAACUCGCUUAACUUCGGAGCUCCUACGACUCCGAAGCCAGUGAGCUCCCAAAAGGCCUCGUGCUAGAUGGAUGCGGGUGUGCACAAAUAAGGCAUAUCACCCCCUCUCCGUUGGUUGAUGUGGGAUCUUACAAACGACCUUCAACAACUACUUUAUUUCUAUUUUUCCAGAAGCUCCAGCAUAUGUAUAAAAGCAAGCGCAUUUCAUACUUCGAAAGAUAAAUAGUGGCAACUUCAAAUAAAUCCCCAUAGUUAGAAAAGUGCACCCCUGUAAAAACCUCCCUGAACUGCACUUUUUUCCAAACUUUUUGGGCACUAGGACAACUCCACAAUGCAUGAAUUACACUCUCAGAAUUCACAUUACAAAUGGGCAGGAGUCAUCAGAGAUUACUUUGCUUUUAAGUAGAUUAGAUUUACAAGGAAGAUAAUUUUUAAUAGCUCACCAAUUAAAAUAUAAGAGUUUUUGUGGUACCUCUUGGGACCAAACUUUUCUCCAGAAAGCACUUCGUAUUCUUGGUUCCGAAGAGGAUCAACAACCCCACUGCACUCCUUUUUUUCUGACAUCUCCAGCCUAUAUCCACUUUUCACAAAAUAAAUUCCAUUAGUCGUAUAAUGCCAAAACCAUCUAUCCUUGUGAUAAUUAACACUCAAAUGGAUAAAGGUAAUGGCCUUAACAUCUUCCGCAUGAAAAAACAAAUUUAGUAAAUCAACAUUCCAAUUCCUAAUAAGAAAAAUAAAAGCACUUACUUUAGUUUCUUGAUCCAACACUUGAGGGGAAAUAGGCGGAAAGAAUUAGGUCUAAGAAUCCAAGCAUCUCCAUAGACUAGAGUUUCUUGUCCAUCUCCAAUCCUUUUCCUUGACCCACUCAAGAGCAACUCACGACCCCAAAUCAAAGACCUCCAAACAUAUGAAGAAGCUCUUCCUUUACCAGCUGCCAAGAAAUUACAGUUUGGAAAAUAUCGAGCUUUUAACACAAUCAUGGACUGUUCAUUGGUAAUAAGUCUCCAACAUUGCUUAGCCACGAGAGUUUUGUUAAAUAACUCCAGAUCUCUAAACCCCAUUCCACCUUCAUCCUUUGCAAAACACAGAUGCUCCCACUUUGCCCAGCUAAUACCUUUGCAAUACUCUGAAUUCUUCCAUCAAAAUUUAGAGAUCAUUGAAUUCAAUUCUGCUCAAAAUGUUAUAGGAAGUUUAAAGACUCCCAUAGCAUAAUUUGGAAUGCUCUAAGCCACCGCUUUGAUAAGGAGAGCCUUUCCUGAUUUUGAAAGCAAUUUCUCUUUCCAUCCAUUAAGCUUCUUUCUCAAUCUUUCUUUUAUUCCGUUAAAACAAUCCUUCUUUUUCCUGCCAAUCACAGCUGGCAAUCCCAAAUAUUUCUCACGAAACUCAACAAUUGGGAUCUUUAGAAUGCUGCUCACCUCAUUCCUUAAAUGCAUAGGAGUGUUCGGACUGAAAGCAAUUGCUGACUUCUCCAAAUUUAUUUUUUGCCCUGCUGCUGCCUCAAAAAUCUCAAACACAGUUGUUGCUUCAAGAAAGAUUAGGCUGUCAUCUGCAAAAAAACAAACUGAGAAAUUCCCCUUGCAACUUCAAUCCCUUUUAUUUCACCAGAAAGCUCUGGCUGUUUAAGAAGCAAAGAAAAACCCUCUGCACAAAUGAGAAAAAGAUAGAGAGAUAAGGGAUCUCCUUGUCUAAUCCCCCUUUGUGGGAUAAUAUUAACUUCAACAACUCCAUGCCUUAUCAAAGAAUAUGAAACAGUAGAUAUACACUCAAAGACCAGCUUAAUAAAGUCACCAGGGAAACCCAAUUUCUCCAUCAUUUUACAAAUGAAAUAGCAAUCAACUCUAUCAUACACUUUUGCCAUGUCUAACUUCAAUGCAAUCUUUGGAACUUUUCCCCCCUUCUACUUCUCAUGGUAUGUAUUGUUUCAAAAGCCAGAAUGAUAUUAUCUAAAAUUUGCCUCUUUGGAACAAAAGCACUCUGGCUUUCAGAUAUAACCAUUGGGAGCACACCCUUUAAUCUGUUGGCUAUGGCUUUAGAAAUAAUUUUAUAGAUCAUAUUGCAAAGAGAUAUUGGCCUGUACUGAGUCACAAAUUUCGGCUUUUCAACUUUGGGGAUGAGAGCUAUCAAAGUCUUGUUCAGGCUUCUCACACUUUCCUAGCCAUUGAGAAUUUUUAGACAUACCUCAACAACUUCGUCCCCAAGAAUGUGCCAAUACUUCUUGAAAAAAACAAGGGCAUUCCAUCAAUUCCAGGAGCCUUUGAAGGAGGCAUUUGCUUUAGAGCAAACUCUAUCUCAUCUCUGCUGUAAGGCUGAAUAAGAAAAUGCUUCAUUUGAUCAGGCACUUUUGGACUAACCAUGUUAAUGAUCACCUGUUUUCGCAAAGAUAGACUGAAAAUAGAUAGUGAAAUUUUUUGUUACCAAUCUCCUGUCCGUACACCAUUUCCCUUUUGAAUUAUACACCCCAGCUAUGAAAUUACUCUUUGUUCUCUCCCUUGCCUUUUCAGGGAAAUAACUAGUAUUUUUAUUACCUUCUUUUAGCCAUUCCACCCUUGGACGUUGUUGCCACAUAAUUUCUUGUUUUUCCAGCAGGUCUUCAAUCUUUCUUUCAAAAAAAUCCUUCCUCUGACUUUGUUGUUUCGAAGGGUUAAUGCAUUGCCAAAGAUCCAGUUCUUCUUUGCACUCCUUUAAUUGAGUCCUAACACUAUCAAAGACAUCUUUUUCCCACUUUUUAAAAGAAAUAGCAUACCUUUUGAGCUUUCUUUCACGGAAAUGUGUUCAUCUACAUUAUGCUCCCAAGCAUCCUUCACAACAUCUUCAAAUUCCUCUUCUUUCAACCACAUCUUUUCAAAAUGAAAUCUGCAUUUUCUUGCUGAAAUUAUAGCAUCAUUAAUAUUUUGGGAAAUAAGAGUUAAAAGAAUUGGCUUGUGAUAAAAAACAGUACUGUCGAUCAAGUCUUUCCCACAUAACACUCCCAUUACCAUUCUUCCUACUCCAAGUGAAAGGAAAGCCUUCAAAACCGAUAUCACUCAAGUUACAGUCCUCUAGAGACUAUUGGAAGUUUUCCAUUUGGUACAUUGGUCUCCUUCUAACCCCAUUUGAAUAUCUUUCUGAAAGUAGCUCAUUAAAAUCACCCAAGCAUACCCAAGGGCUUGUACAAGAACCUGACAAUCUUCUAAGUAAUUCCUAAGAGAAAACUCUUAAGAAUGUUUUAGGGUUGCCAUAAAACCCAGUCACUCUGAAUGGUUGAUGGGAUGAGUAUUCACCCAGCAGUCUAUAUGGCCAGUUGAUGCAAACAACACACUCACUUGUACUUCUUUCCUCCACAACAUUGCAAGACCCCUACCCUUUCCAGUUCUCUCUACUUCAAAAUAAUUAUAGUUUCCCCAUUUCAUCGCCUUUUCUUUCAAUUGCACACUAGUACAUUCAGUCUCCAUAAGGAAAAUUACAUGGGGAUUUUUCUCUCUCAAUAAAUCAUUGAGAGCUCUGAAUGUCCGAGGAUUCCCCAAACCUCAGAUAUUCCAACUUAAGAUAUUCAUUUCUCGUGGUGGGCCAACAUCUCUGAGCCCACCACGGAUUCAGACAUGGCAAUCUCAUUGUUUUUUCCCUCAUCAACUUUGUUGUGCUUUUGAAGCUUCCCCUUCCAUAACUGGUUCCCCACUCCGUUUCUCACCAAUUAGCAUACUAGGAGUUAUUUGAUCAUGGGAGGAUUUACUUGAACCACCCUCUCUUGCUAAACUUUUCCAGCUUUUCCCUAUUUUGGCCUGCACACCCUUUAGCUCUUUGCCGGCCUAAUUGUCUCUCUAUGAAUCAAGACCAAACCCAGACUGAAUUACCACCUCAAAAUUGCCAAAUAAAGCUUUAUCAGCUUCAGAGUGGGAUAUGGCACAAAUAUCUUGUUUUUUCUCUCCCGCUUGACAAUUUGGUUCAACGCUUCUUGUGGAAACAGAGGAGGUUGAACAGCCCCCCUCACUAAUCUUCUUUGCCUCCAUUAGAGCAAUGUUUCCAUUUUCCUCCUUGUUUUUCCAAUUUCUAUCCCUUUGUCCUGACCCUCUGGAAAUUCGUUGGGAAUACAAUGAGUUUGAAGUCGAGUGACCCAUUUCUUUUCCUUUGGAACCUUCUCUGGACAAUUGUUUCACUUGUUGUCUGCUUGCAUUCAUGGACUGUAAUUGUGAAGAAAUAACUUGAAUCUUAUUACUGACUUCAAGGCUACUCGUCUGUUUUUUCUUUGUUGGAGAGCUGACAGCAUCUGAAAACUCUCGUGGGACAUUUUUCUGCUUUCCAUCAUCAAAAUUUCUUUUAUUUCCUCUAUUUUCUUCCUCCUCUUCUGAACUAGAAUCAUAAGAAUGGCUAUUUGAGGAUUGGGCAUGACCAUAGCCUCUUGAGGUAAGGGAUCUUCCAUAUGGCUGAUGUUUAACUCUUUUCUGUUGCUUGGGCACAUAAUUGCAAUCCUGAAGUAUAUGCCCAAUUCUUCCACAUCCAAAGCAGAAUUUGGGUAAUUUUUCAUAUAAAAAAUUCAACUAGAUCAGUAUUACCCUCAGGGAAGAUUAUCCUUUAAUCCCCUCCAUUGAGGUUUAGUAAUAUCUAUUCGAACUUUCAUCCUCAUAAAGCCUCCCACUAGCUCACCUCCUUCACAUUGAGAUAUGUCUAUACAUUUGCCAAUUCUAUCUCCAAUUGACCUAGCAAGCUUCUCAGUCAUUUUUAGGGGCGGAACAUUCCAAAUUUGAACCCAGAAAUCAGCAAAUUUUAAAUUCAUCUUAGAGGGUGCCACAGUACCAUCUGGCUCCUCUAACAAAACAAGCUUUCUAUCAAAUUUCCAAGGGGUAAACUUUAAAAUAUUUUGUUUAUCCUCCAUACGUCCAAAAGUAAAUAAGAAGUGGUUACCUGGGAGUUCUUUAAUGUUUACUUCACCCUUGAUUCCUUUAAGUGAAACUAUAAUGGAACCUCCACACUUCGAAGAAUCAGUUGACUACUACAAAAAGUGAAAAAGACGACCAGAAAACAACGACGGUCUAAGUGAAAACCGUCGUGGUUUAUAAAAAGACGACGGUUCUAAAAACACCGUCGUGUAAUACAACCUUAGACAACUAAAAAAUGGAGUUUCAAAUGGCUGUUCAAAAACAACGACGUACAUAAUUAAACAACCGACGUCUAUUUGAAACAGAUUUCCUCAGUGUAAAAUCAAUGCCAACAAAGAACGGCAGAAGUUAUGAAUCGACCGACGUAGAAAGUAAAGACGACGAUUUCAAUAAAAACUGCCGUUUUUACUCAUAAAAUAAGACGACGAGGUUUUCGUAUAAGACGCCGUAUAAUUACAAACAAAUCCACGGCUUUAAAAUACAAAAUAUCGCCGUAUUAAAUUAAUUUACAACGACGGAAAAUAUAAAUAUAUCGACGUCAUUCUCGUAUAGUUCUACUACGUUAUCUUUAAAUCGUACAAUAAAAUUUAUCGUCGUAUUUAUUCAUUUUAUACGUCGUACCUUUAAUUUUAACGGUCGUCUUAAUAAGAAUUUUUGUUAACAAUUUUUUUCUUUGAUUUUCUUAUCCUACGUCGGUAGAUCUACUUAAUGACAAGAAUUGAAAUAACCACGACGGUUUAUAUAGAACACCGCCGACAUAAGCAGUUUUGUCUGAGAUCCCAAGGGUUACGAAAUCUUACCAGAUGGAACUCUGUUCCACAUCAUAAUCUUAACAGAUGACACAGAUUUGCAAAUAUUGCGUCGUGUUAGUUUACAAAUUCUAGAACAUUAAUUUCCCUCAUUUUAAAUUUCCUCGGGAAAGAAAAAUCUAUUUAUCACGCUUUGGAAUUGAAAACUAAAACUGAAAGAAUACGGGAAAAAAAACUCCAUUUAUAAUUUAAAAUUAAAAUCCACGUCGGUUGUAGUACACUUAACGACGUUUAACAAAAUAAUCUACGUCGGUAAUUAUAAAUCUACCGCCAUCGUAACUUAAUAUAGACGACGAGAAAAGACGACGGUAGAACAGAAAACCGCCGUUGUUUCAGUUUCUUUAACAUAUCUUUCUGCAGGACUUGUGUAGUUCAAAGCAUUGACAAUGUCUUCAUCAUAUCUCCCAGAAACUACUGAUUCAAUUGCUCAUGCUUUAGAGGCCAUCUGAAGCCAUUUCUAUUCUUUAUCGCAUUCUUGAAACCCAUCUUCUUCUUCUGAAGCUCUACGGAUAAAGGAAGAGGCUAUCACAAUAAAUCCGACGGAUCUUCUUAGGCAAGAAAAUCAAGCAGAGGAUCAGGCACAUCUGAUCUUCAGAUUUCCCUGAGAAGCGAACUUUCCUUCGACAGCGAGUGGAGGCCAGGCUUGCAUCUCUUUUGAUGGAAAGCAAGGAGUAUUCAGAAGCACUAAGUGUCCUAUCAGGCUUGAUCAAGGAAGUGAGAAGGCUUCUUCUUGUGGACAUAUAUUUGAUGCGAGUAAGCUCAAUUUCUCUUUGAGAAAACAUCCAAAUUAUUAUCUUUGAGACAUGAGAGACUGAGAGAGGAAGAACUUGGAACCUUAAAUGUAAACCGAAAAUGAAUGAAAGCGACAAAUUUAUAGAAUAAAUUUUUAAAACCAACGGCGGUCCUUACAAACAAACCGCCGUUUAAAUUGUAAAAUCAACGUCGGUAUUAUCGACGUAUAUUACAGAAAUCCACGUCGGUAAAUUAAUAAAAACGACGUGUUAAAUAAUAUACCAUGACGCGAGUUAUUACUUAUGUACUUUAAUUUUUGAGUUUACUACGACGGUACCUACAAACUACUGUCGUAUUUAUUUACCACGUCCGAAGUUAAAUGUACCGUCGUAUUUUGUAAUUUAUACGUCGUAGUUAUAUGUAACCGCCAUAUUAUUUUUUUGAAAUGGUUUUAUAUGUAAGCAACUUUUCGUCUACUUGACUUACACAUUUGUUGUUUUUAUAUUCUUAUUUUAUUUAAAUCUGUCAUCCAAAAAAGAAACUUUACAUAUUGCAGAAUAUUAAUUUCCUUCGUUUUAAAUUUCCUCCGGAAAAAAAACUCUAUUUAUAACGCACUGUAAUUGAAAAAUAAACUGAAAGGUCACGGGAAAAAAAAUUCUAUUCAUAAUUUAAAAAUUAAAAUCCACGUCGGUUAUAUUAAACCUAACGACGUUAAAUGAAAUGAUUCCACGUCGAAUGAAAAAUAUUGCGUCGUUUUAGUUAAAAACGACGUAGUUAAAUGUAACCGCCGUAUUAUUUUUUUGAAAUGGUUUUAUAUGUAAGCAACUUUUCGACUUACACAUGCACUGUUUCCAAACCCGAUUAAAAAUUUCAAUCUCCCAGAGAAACCUUUUCGUCUUUUUUCCUUGUCAGAGCAUUGUCAGAGUUUCUCAUCGUCUUCCUCUCGUCUUCUUCGUCGUCUCUGAACUUAAACAUCGAUCAUCUUCCUCUUGCUUUCAUUGCACGCAAAAGGUAAGCUUUCAUUUUCACUAUUUUGGUUACUGUUUUGCAUGCUCAUACGUUUUUUGUUUGAAAAAUCUUUUUACCUUUUUUCUGGCCAAAAUCAUUUUACUUCUUUCCAAGUUUGAUAAAAUAUACAGACAAAGAGAGAAAGUUUCCAACUUUGAAGACAACUACAUCAACUAAAUAAGACGACGGUAGACCACGACGGUUCGUCAGUUGUUCUAGCGUCGUCUGAAAAUUGACAAAGUUGUUUUUAAAAUAAUAGUCUUUUUUUAUAUGCUUGUUUAAUUGCAGGUUUGAUUUCGCUGAACAAUGGUUUUUGUUUUUCCCUUAUUUGAUAAAAUAUAAAGAAAAAGAAACUAGGGUUGGUAUCUAAUAUAGACGAUAAAAUAUAAAUAAUAGUUUACCACGACGGUGUAUUACUAUUGACGUCGUGUGAACAUAUAUACCACGACGUUAUAUAAAUAAUGGUUUUAAACAUUUAUUACGUCUGAGAUUAUUUCAUUGCGUCGUCUAAAAUCAUAUCAUACGUCGUAUUUUGUUAAUACCGUCGUUUGUGUUCUUAAUGUUUUCCUGAAAUAUUUUCACUUGCAGUUUUGUCUGUUAAAAUGGUUUCUCAACAACAAACUAAGGAUUCUGGCUCCAAGAAGCUUGGAAUGGUAGCUCCUCAAGAUAAGUCUUCGAAGGAGAUGAAGUCUUCGAAGAAGAUGAAGUUUGCUUCAUCAUCUGCUGAGACAGAACAAACCAGCCAGACAACAAUCUCAGAUGAUUCAAAGACUGGUCGAGGUAUGAGCACAAUGCCUCGUGUUGUGAAGAGAAAGCUUCAGAAACUGAGGCCAAUUGUUGAGUACAAUAAAAGGGGGAAAGGUGUUGGCCAAGCACAUAUUGAGAUGCAGUCGUAUAUUGGUGUGUUGGCACGCUCCAGGAUCCCACUUGUGGACAAGAAAUGGUCCCAAAUCCCCAAGGAUAUAAAGGAGCAGAUUUGGGAAGCAGUUGACAUGGCUUUUGUCGUAGGCCAAGGGGGCAAGACCUCUGUUUUAGCUUCUGCUUCCAAGAAAUGGAAGGAUUUCAAGUCUACACUAACGAGGCAUUAUAUCCUUCCAUACACCAAUGACAGGGAGAAAUUAAGCCAACCCCCUGAAACAUAUAAAUUCAUAGAGAAAGCACAAUGGGAUGCCUUUGUAGCUUCAAGGCUAUCCAAAGAUUUUGAGUCUGUGCAUUCUCAACAUGCACAGAUUAGGGAGAAACUCGAGUACAAUCAUCGAUUGUCUCGAAAAGGAUAUGCUGGAUUGGAGGAUCAAUUGGAGGAAACCAUGCCUGGGGUAGAAAUUGAUCGAUCUACCUUAUGGAAGAGAGCUAGACAGGACAAACAUGGUAACAUCCCUGAUCCAAAGGUGGCAGAGAAAGCAAAAUUAAUUGUAAGCCUACUAUCACUCUGUUUUAAAUUUUUAUUAAACUGUGAAUUAUUCUUAUUACGUCGUAUGUUAUAUUUUUCGUCGUGUGAAUGAUAUUACCACGUCGAAAAGUUUUUAAAAACGUCGUUAAAGGUCUAAAUAGGAAUCACUACUAUGUUUUCUGUAAUUACAGCAUAAGACGUCGGUGGUUCAUUUUCGCGUCGUGUGAAUGAUAUUACCACGUCGAAAAUUUUUUAAAAACGUCGUUAACGGUCUAAAUAGGAAUCACUACUCUGUUAUCUUUAAUUAUAGCAUAAGACGUCGGUUGUUUAUUCAUUUCGUCGUUUUAAAUAAAUAACCACGUCGGUAUAACUACCGUCGUGAUAAGUUAUAAUAACGUCGGUUUAUACGUUAUUGCGUCGUGUGAAAUUAUAUAAUACGUCGUUUGUACAUAAAUAACCGUCGUGUGUUUUUUUGUUUAUCUUUUUUUAGGAUGAAUUGCAGAAACAAGUCUCGGAAGGCAAAGUCAGAGUAGAUGGCAGCAAUGAUGUGCUGACCAUGGCUUUGGGCCCCGAGCAUCCAGGCAGACUGAGGGGAGUUGGUGCUGGUGUUUCCCCAAGGCAAUAUUUCAAUUUGCCCAAACCACAGAGGGUGAGCUUUGACGACCGUUUGAAGGACAGUUUAAGAGUUCUCCUUCAAGAAGAGACUAAAAAGAUGGAGGCUAAGGCAAGGGAAGAGGCCUUAAGGAUGGAGGCUAGGACAAAACAAUUGGUAGAGGCUGAGAGGGAGCAUUUCCUGAGUCAGCUUUCCCAAUUAAUUCCCAAUUUUGAUCCAAGCAUGCUUAAACCAAGAAUUAGCCAACGCCCCAAAAAUCCAAUGUCUGACAAAGCUAGCUGCUCUGGAGGUGAUGUGAGAUCCCUACAUUUGGAGGAUGAUACUGCCAAAAUGGGGAAACAUCAGCCAGAUGAAGAGAAGGAAGAAGAAAAAAGAGAUGAAGAGAAGGAAGAAGAAAAGGAGAAAGAAGAUGAAGAAAAGCAUGACGACAAGGUAUGUUCACAUAACUUUGCCUUUUUUAUUUGUUUUUCAAAAUUUCAGACGUCGAUAUUUUUAUUUAAUCCGUCGUUUGUUUAAAACUUAGACGGCGGAAUUUUUUUAAGACGUAAUAAAAUAUUUAAACGACGGUUUUUGCACCGUCGUUUAAAUGGUUUCAGACGACGCUUUAUUCAUAAAACCGUCGUCUUUAUUGAAUUACCACGACAGUUUUUUCACCGUCGUUUAAAUACUUUUAAGACGACGUUUUAUUACUUAAACCGUCGUCUUUAUUGAAUUACCACGUCAUUUUUUUUAUUUCUUUAAACAGGUUAUUGAAGUUGGUGCUUAUUCAAAAAUGGAGGCGCCAUCUUCUUUAAAAACCCUUUGUCGUUUUGUGGAAACGACACUCCUGCCUGAGGAUAAGACAGUCCAAUUUACAAUUGAUAAGGAGGUGUUUGGUGGUGAGCGCGAUACCUUCCUCCUGCCUGAAGAUAUUACACAAUUUGCAGGCAUGGAAGAAAUUGGAGCUACUGUAUUGGCUGUAUAUAUGAGGUUUGUACUUCUAAAAUAAUAACUCGUUGGUUUAUAUAUUGCGUCGUCUUAACUAACUAACCACGUCGUCUUAACUAACAACCGUCGUGAUAAAUAUAUUAUAACGUCCUCAUCUAUUUCAGUACGUCGUGUGAAAUAUUAUAAUACGUCGUUUUUUUAUACAUAACCGUCGUGUUUUGUGUGCUGACUUGUUUAUAUUAUUUUAUUUGUUUAGGUACUUACACGAUGUUUUGAAAAAAGCCAAUAUGUGCAGUAUGGUUGGCUUUAUCGACCCUGCUACAGUUAGUGCCAACUCUGGCACAAUAACUGAAAGAUCACGACUCGUAGCAGCUCGACUUCAGAAGACAGACGGUGAACAGAUUUUCAUGAUGCCUUACAAUCCAGGGUUAGUCUCCUUAGGAUUUUGUUUUUAUGAUUUUCAAUAAAUGACAGCUUAUAAACUAACCACGUCGGUGUUUUAUUUUAUUUAGUCGUUUGAAACUACUAACCACGUCGGUAUUUAUUUAUCGUCGUGAUAAAUAUAUAAUGUCGUCGUUAGCUACUUUACUUCGUCGUGUGAAAUACUAUAAUACGUCGUUUUUGUAAAUAACCGUCGUUUUUAUAUUAAUUUUGUGCAGCCGUCAUUGGAUUUUGCUGAUUGUAAGAGCAAAGAGAGAAACCGUCUAUUUUCUGGAUCCUCUGCCAGGAAAUCGUGUGGUCGAUGAAGAGGCCAAAAACAUCGUGAACAGUGCUUUAAAAAUAUAUAAUACCCACAUAGCCCGAGCAGGACGUAAAAAUGUAAUUUGGAAAACUCUCUCAGGCACACCAAAGCAACCCAGCAAUGUCGAAUGCGGGUAUUAUGUAAUGCGCUUCAUGAGGGACAUCAUCAUGGAUCCUUCCUUGGGGUUUGAGAAUAAGGUAAGAAGAAAUUACCUUCAUACAUUUCACGUCGUUUUUUGUAUUAUCAACGACGGUCGUGUAAAAUUAACGUCGUUGAAUGGAUAUACUACGUCGGUUAUGAAAAAUAUCGUCGUCUGUGAUUGAAUUUCUUUUUAUUUAUAAACCCUAAUAGUCAUUGUUUAUGCAGUAUGCCAAGGGAAACCAGGAAGCUUCAUACCCCCAAGAAGCCAUUGAUGAAGUCCGGAAUGAAUGGGCAGAGUUUGUUUUCCAAAUUAUUAAACAGGGCAAUUAUUGAACACUUGAUAUUUAUGUAUAAUGUACCAAUUUUCUCUAUAAUAUGUAAUGUAAAAAUUUGUUGAGGUUUUCUUAAAUUAAAAAAAAAACAAACAUACAAAUUGCUUAACCGACGUGUAAUACUUUUCCAACGACCUAAUAAAGUCAAUAACCGUCGUAUUUUGUUGUUGCGUGUUUUAAACAAAUACGACGUAAAAAAAUAGUUAGACGACGUUCUUUGAACAAUUGAGUCGUUAAUGGUUUACAAUAUCUUCAAUUUCUUAAGGGUUCAGGGUAUAAUCGACGACGUUUAUGUAACGACUGCGGUUAAGUCGUAAAAUAUAUAUUUUACGUCGUAUAGUUAAAUAGCCGCCAUGGUUUCUCAUUUUAACGACGUCAUUUUAACGACUUAGUAGUCUAUUACAAUUUACAACGUCUACAAUUUAUUUAACACCGACGUGGUUUGUUGUAUGGUAAGAAUAUUUUAUUAUUUUUAUAUCAAAAUAUUCAAAAUAAAUAUAAAAUAAAUCAGAAAAUUGAAAAGUCAACUCCUAUGAAGUCAUUGAUAUAUUUUCUUCCACAUAAACCUUGAAAAAAUUCAUUUUGAAUAACAAAAAUUUAAAAUGACCAUCCAAAACAAAAUUGUUUUGAUGAGUCAUAAAAUCACUUCUAGUUUUAUGGUUUAGGGUUUAGAGUCUAGGGUUUAGAGAUUAGGGUUGUUAUUUAUUGGGGUUUAUUUUUAAAGUAUAAUUUUUGGGUAGUCUAUGUUAUAUGUUAGGCUUUAAAACCAUAAAACCUUUUAUAAACUUAAUUUUUUAAAUUGUAUAAUUUAAUUUUAUGGGUUUAGUGUAUUAAUUUUUAACGACGGUGGUUGGGUCGUGGAAUACAUAUUUUACGUCGUACAGUAAAACAUACGACAUGGUUUACGCUUUAAACGACGUCAUUUUAAUAUGUAAGUCGGUUUAUAUAAUUUACAACGUUUUUAAUUUCUUAACACCGACGUGGUUUCUCAUUUUAACGACGUCAUUUUAACGACUUAGUAGUCUAUUACAAUUUACAACGUCUACAAUUUAUUUAACACCGACGUGGUUUGUUGUAUGGUAAGAAUAUUUUAUUAUUUUUAUAUCAAAAUAUUCAAAAUAAAUAUAAAAUAAAUCAGAAAAUUGAAAAGUCAACUCCUAUGAAGUCAUUGAUAUAUUUUCUUCCACAUAAACCUUGAAAAAAUUCAUUUUGAAUAACAAAAAUUUAAAAUGACCAUCCAAAACAAAAUUGUUUUGAUGAGUCAUAAAAUCACUUCUAGUUUAAUGGUUUAGGGUUUAGAGUCUAGGGUUUAGAGAUUAGUGUUGUUAUUUAUUGGGGUUUAUUUUUAAAGUAUAAUUUUUGGGUAGUCUAUGUUAUAUGUUAGGCUUUAAAACCAUAAAACCUUUUAUAAACUUAAUUUUUUAAAUUGUAUAAUUUAAUUUUAUGGGUUUAGUGUAUUAAUUUUUAACGACGGUGGUUGGGUCGUGGAAUACAUAUUUUACGUCGUACAGUAAAACAUACGACAUGGUUUACGCUUUAAACGACGUUAUUUUAAUAUGUAAGUCGGUUUAUAUAAUUUACAACGUCUUUAAUUUCUUAACACCGACGUGGUUUUUCAGUCGUCGUUAUAUAAAAAAUUCAAAAUAAAUUUAAAAUUAAUCCGAAAAAUGAACGGCCUUACGUUCUUAAUCCGAAAAAUGAAGUUUCCGUCGUGGAAUAUUAAAUUUACGUCGGUACUUGUAGAACUUUCGCCUUGGUUUUUCUUUCGACGUUUUAUAACGCGCGCGCUCUAAAAAUUUUCGCGCGACCUAAAUUUUUUUAGAUUUGGCUCUUAGUCUUAUACUUUGAUCCCUGAAACCUAAAAUUUCAGAUUUCACGCGACAUAACAUUUCGCUCUCUCACUUCUGCUCUAAUUAAAAGUUGCACUCUCCAGGCUCGUCGAAUCUGUGAGCUCGUCCAACCUGUAAGUACAAACCCUAUCUUCCCCUUGUAAAUUCAUUGAAUGAUAUUAGGUUGUUUUGUUAAAGGGUUUUAGGUAUAUGCUUUGCGAUCUGUUAAUAAUGUGCUUAUAGGUAUGGGUUCAUGGAUUUUCUGUUUAAUGGGUUCAUGACAAGAUCAAAUAAAGGUGUACUUUUGCUGGAAAUCAACACAAAAAGACACAUCACCAACUUCCAAAUGAUUUCCAGCAAAAGGACACCUUUAUUUGAUCUUGUCAUUUUCCGCUCUGGAGAAGGUGCAAAGUGCACCAAUGCUUAUAGGUAUGGGUUCAUGGAUUUUCUGUUUAAUGGGUUCAUGGAUUACAUUAUCUGUUAUGUUGAAUUGGGAAUGGAUUUAAUUUUGUCGUAUCUUUUAAUCACCCUAUGUUAUGUUGAAUUGGGAAUGGAUUUAUUGUUUUCAUGCUUGGUUUCAUGUAUAUGUUGGUUUCUUGCUUGGUUUCAUAUAUAUGUUGUGUUCUUAAUGGGUUUUGUGUUCUUGAAAAUAAACUGAGACACGACGAAUUUUAAGGCGUACGACGACGAUUACACGACGGUGUUUUUAAACUACCGUCGUUGUAUUACUUAUACACGACGGUUUUUUCAUAAACCGUCGUUUGUAUUACGUAUAAUAGACGACGUCUGUUGAAAAUCCGUCGUCUAUAUAUGCCAAAUACGUCUGUUUUUGAUUAAAACCCGUCGUCUCUGUUGUUUAUUACUUGCGAUUAGAUCAUUGUAUAAUCUGCUAUAGUGAUGGUCAUUGCCUGUAUUUUCACUUUAUUAUAGAUAAUAGGUUAUAGUGUCGAAGAUGGAUAAGUCAUGGAUGCACUCGGAUAGAAGAUCGAAGGCAUAUGAGUUUGGGGUGGAAGCAUUUUUGAACUUUGCUGUAGAAAAUCUUCUAACUACAACACAUAUCCGUUGUCCAUGUGUUAAAUGUGUUAAUUUGAAGUUGUUUGGGGUUGGAAUUAUAAGGGAUCACUUAUACUUUAAUGGAAUUGACCAAAGCUAUAAGAAUUGGACAUUUCACGGAGAACCUUGGGAAGCAACUACUAAUGCUAGCAGAAAUGUUGAAGAAGAUGAUGGCCAUAGUAGGUACAGUUUUGUGUCUGAAGAAAUUGAUAUGGAUGAUAAUGAUUUUGGUGAUUUUGGUUCGGAUCCGUAUGAGUUUGCCAAUGUGAUUGGGGAUGGAGAUCAACCAGUGUACCCUGGUUGUAGAAAGUACACGAAGUUAUCGGCAUUAGUGAAGUUGUAUAAUUUGAAGGCAAAACAUGGGAUGAGUGAUGUCUGUUUUACAGAAUUAUUGAUACUUCAAGGCGAUUUGCUUCCAGAAGGAAAUACAAUACCAACCUCCAUGUAUGAGGCUAAAAAGACUUUGUGUGCAUUGGGGCUGAGUUAUGAGAAAAUGCACGCAUGCCCCAAUGAUUGCAUCUUGUAUAGGAAGGAGUAUGAGGAUUCAACUAAUUGUCCUACUUGUGGUAUCUCAAGGUGGAAGGAAGGCAAAGAUGCAAUCUUGAAAGAGGGUGUGCCAGCGAAGGUGGUGUGGUAUUUUCCCCCAAUUCCAAGGUUUAAAAGGAUGUUUCAAUCACAUGAGACAGCUAAGAGUUUGACUUGGUGGCAUGUUGCUAGAAAAUCAAUUGACGGUCAGAUGUCUCAUCCGGCGGAUUCCCCGUCUUGGAAACUUCUUGAUGAUAAAUGGCCUGAGUUUGGUAAUGAGCCGAGAAACUUGAGAUUGGCUCUUUCAUCUGAUGGAUUCAAUCCCCACAGUUCUCUAAGUAGCAGAUAUAGUUGUUGGCCGGUUAUCUUAGUUACAUAUAAUCUCCCUCCAUGGCUGUGCAUGAAACGAAAGUUCAUGAUGUUAACCUUAUUGAUUUCCGGUCCUAAACAACCCGGAAAUGAUAUAGACGUCUACUUGGAGCCUUUGAUUGAUGAUUUAAAAUCCUUGUGGGUUGGGAUUAGAGGAGUGUAUGAUGCACAUAAUGGAGAAUACUUUACACUCAGAGCUGCAUUAAUGUGGACAAUUAAUGAUUUCCCCGCCUAUGGAAACUUAUCUGGUUGUGUUGUUAAAGGAUAUAAAGCUUGUCCAAUAUGCGGCGAUGAUACACCUAGUCACAGGUUGAAAAAUGGCCACAAAAUUUGUUACAUUGGGCAUAGAAAAUGGUUACCAAUCAAUCAUCCAUAUAGGAGGCAACGUGCAGCUUUUAAUGGGAAACCUGAAUAUGGCAUACCUCCAGAGCCAUUAACCGGAGAAGAAGUGCUGCAUAUGGUUGAAAAUGGUGACAGAGUUUGUUGGAAGAAGAAAUCAAUAUUCUUUGAUCUCGAGUAUUGGAAAUACCUUCCUGUGAGGCAUGCCCUAGAUGUUAUGCACAUUGAGAAGAAUGUUUGCGAUAGUAUCAUUGGUACAUUGCUGGAGAUCCCUGGAAAAAAUAAAGAUGGGAUUGCUGCUCGAUUAGAUUUAUUGAACAUGGGGGUCAAAACUGAUUUGCAACCCGAGUAUGGAGAAAGACGUACUCGUUUGCCUCCUGGGCCUUGGAAUUUGUCAAGAGCAGAGAAGAGAGAGGUUUGCAAUUCUUUCUAUGGUAUGAAGGUCCCUGAAGGUUAUUCUUCAAAUAUUAAAAAUCUUGUAUCUGUACAAGAUUCAAGACUUCUUGGCCUUAAAUCACAUGAUUGUCAUACCUUAAUGCAACAAUUGCUCCCUGUGGCAAUUCGUUCUGUUUUGGAGAAGCCUGCAAGGUAUGCAAUAACUCGUUUGUGCUUCUUCUUCAAUGCUAUAUGUGCAAAGACUGUUGAUGUUUCCAAGCUAGAUAAGUUGGAAGAAGAUGUAGUAGUUACUCUGUGUUUGCUUGAGAAGUACUUUCCCCCUUCAUUCUUUGAUAUCAUGGUUCAUCUAGUAGUACAUCUUGUCAGAGAAGUUCGUCUAUGUGGGCCAGUAUAUUUUAGGUGGAUGUAUCCGUUUGAAAGAUAUAUGAAAGUGCUGAAGGGGUAUGUUCAGAAUCGUACUCGUCCCGAAGGUUGCAUUGCUGAGCGGUAUAUAGCUGAAGAAGCGGUAGAGUUUUGUACUCAGCAUUUAUCUGAUGUUAGUACAGUUGGAGUGCCUUCAAGCCAAAAGAUGGGAGUUUCAAAGCCAUUAUCAGGUUGCACAGUGAGCGUAGUUGAUCAGGACCUGUUGAAUCAAGCACAUCUAUAUGUCUUGGAGAAUACGGAGGAAGUCCUACCUUAUAUCGAGUACGUAUGAGUUUUAUUCUUUAAGUUUCCAUUUAAAAUUAUUUCUUAUGUUUAUCUUAUAUAUUUGGGACCGUAAUGCUUGAAUUUUUCGUGUCAUGUAGGCAACAUAUGAUCCACAUCAAGACUGCUUAUCCAAAAUUUAGAAAGAGAACAAAGUGGCUGCAGGAUAAGCACAAUAGCACUUUCAUUCAAUGGCUACGCUUCAAGGUAUAUGUUGUUGAAUAACGUAUUUCUCUUUUAAUUUUCUUCUUAUUUAUAUGUUAGGAUGAAUUAAGAUAUGAUUAAUUUGCAGGUUCAAAGUGAAGUUGAGGAAGACAAUCAUGGCGUAUCAGAAAAUUUAAGGUGGCUAGCAGCUGGUCCAAACAUGUCAGUGCCAUUAUAUAGGAGCUAUCUUAUUAAAGGUAUUAAAUUCAAUAUCAAGGCACAAGAUGAUGUGCGGACAACUCAAAAUAGUGGAGUUUAUUUACUUGCACAUACCAUGCAAGUUGCUAGUGCCAAGGAUAAAAACCCAAUUCUCUCAAAUAUGGGUUUCUAUGGUGUCAUUCAAGAAAUUUGGGACCUUGACUACCAAAAGUUUACAAUCCCAGUCUUUAGGUGUGAUUGGAUAGAUAGUUCUGGUCUUGUAGUCGACGAACUUGGAUUUACCCUUGUAGAUUUGAGUAAAAUUGGACAUAGGAAUGACCAAUUUGUUUUGGCUUCUCAAGUCAAACAAAUAUUUUUUGUUGACGACCCGAUGCAUCGUGGUUGGUCGGUAGUGUUAUCAAUGCCUAGUAGAGAAUAUAAUGAUGUUAUUGGUGAUGAAGUAUUAGGUGAUGUGAUAAUUGAGUGUGAGCCAUUUACUAGAGGGAUGCCAAAUGUUGACACAUUUGAUGAACUGGUAGGUGAGUUAGGCGGUCAAAAUAUUCGAGAUGGGUGUGAAGAUAUAUGGAUUGAAUGAUGCUUAUGUAAUUGGCAGUGUAUGACAUUAAUUUUGUAAUAUAUUGUAAUGUGAUUUCUUCACUUUCUACGUUCAAAUAAAACACGACGUUAUUGUGAAUCAGUUAUUCAGCAUAUUUACCGACGUCUUAAAGCAACGUAACAAUGAAGAACCACGACGCUAUUGUGAAGCAAUUAUUCAGGAUAUCACGUCGGUGAAGGAUAAAGAACCGCCAUGUAAUUCAAAAUAACACGACUCCAAUCCCAUAAUACCGACGUCUAAAAAACGAGAUAUGUAAUCUGAACGUUAAAAAAUACGACGUCAUCAUACAUUUUCCACGUCGCAAGUUCUUUUAUAAACGAAGAGGAACGAAAUUAAUUCCGACGGAAAUUCAUUAUAACCGCCGUCUAAUAACAAUUAAACGACGUUAUUUGUAAUACGGCUCCCAUCAUAAUCUACGCCGUCUAUAUGUUCUGUAAUACGGCUCUCAUUUAUUUGGAACCGACGUUGUUUAGACGUUCAACGUCGUCUAUAUUAUUAAGUGCGUCGUGAGUAAUGAAUACAUAUAAAUACAACGUCGACUAUAUAAAUGUAUACGUCGUAAAUAAUGACACUGACAACUAUUUCCACGUCAUCUUUUUUAGAUAAAAUCGAAGUGGAAAAUUUAUUUCACGACGGUUUUUUGUAAAUAAGAGACGUUGUAGAACUUUAGCAGACUAAACACGUCUGUUUUUAUUGUUUUCCGACGUUGUUGUAUUUAACAACGUCUAAUAUUUAUGGUCGUUGUUUGUUUCUGAAAAUAGGACGUAUAAAUUUUUUAAUACGACUCUCAUAUAUUUGUAACUGACGUUGUUUAGUUUUUCAACGUCUACUAUAGAAACACAUACGUCGUAAAUAAUGACACUGACAACUAUUUCCACGUCAUCUUUUAUCAAAAAAUCGAAGUGGAAAAUUAAUUGUACGACGGUUGUGUUUAUAUGUGCGACGUAGUAGGUAUCAAUAACGUCGUCUUCUAAUGUAUUUAAAGACGUCAUAUUUUUUAUUGUCGUGAAAAUUAUAUUUAACGUCGGCGUAUUUUUAUUGUCGGUCGUUGUAUGUCUAUCUUGCGGCCUUGUUCUCUUAAUAUGUGUCAUAUUUUCCCUUUUUAACGACGGUCUUUUUAGAGAAUUGGUCGUCUAUUAUCAUCAUCGAUUGCUUUUUUUAGAUCUUUUGCAGUACAAAGACGUCGUUUUGUAUUUUUUGAUGACGUUGUAUUGUUUAACAACGACGGUUAUUUAGCGUCGUGGUUUAUGAGGGAAAAGAUGACGGUGGAUUCCACGACCAUUGAAAAACCAAAUACACGACGGUGAUUUACCGUCGUCUUUUUGCUUUUUUGUAGUAGUGAACAACAACAAGAACAAGCUGUCGAAAAUCCUGAGCCAGAUAAUCAUCAAGAACCAGUGCAACCGAGGAGAUCUGAUAGACCCAGAAGAUCCACAACAAAAUCAAAUUAUGUUUAUUUACAAGAAGCAGAUUUUGACAUUGGAGAUGAAGCUUGUCCAAUAAGUUUAAAGAAGCUAUGGAGAGUCAGUGGAGGGCUAAAGAGCCAAAUGUGGCCCACCAAAUUUGGCCAAAUUUUUUUUAGCCCAUGGCUGGAGAUGGCCUUAGCCCUCCAACCAGGCCAAUUGUAGCCCAGCUUUAGUCAAGGCCAAAUUUUUUUGUGUGCCCCAGGCAUGUGCUUUUCAAGAAGAGAAAUUAUCAAGCAUGGGCAAGAGCACGAAACAUCUCAUGCAAAUGCAUAUCCAAUAGUCAAUAUUAAAGGCGCGUUGACGUCAUCAAUGACGUCAGCUAGCCGUUAGGAUAUAUAUAUAUAUAUGUUAAAUAGCCUUUUUAAAUGUUAUCAACGUAUACGUGUCAUAUAUGGAAUAUUGUCUUUAAAUAGUAGUUUAACUAAAUUAAACAAUACGUAAUUGUGGAAUGUAUGAGUGUUGUACCAUAGUAUUUUCAAAAUAAUAAAAUAUGAAGGAUCCUAAAAUAUAGCCCUACAUGGCUGGAGAUGGAAAAAUUUAGCCCUACACUAUUCUUUAAAAAAUUAGUAUUUUGAAGGGCUAAAUUUAUAGCCCUGAACUACAUUUAGCCCUAUGACUGGAGAUGGCCUUAUAUGGUAUUGCUCUAUCUCGACUUUAAUUGUCUCAGCCAUUAGUAAAGAUUCAUCCUUAAUCUUCUCAAAAACCACCAGCAUGUCACUUCUCUACCUACAAAACUUUGAUUACAAUUAAUGAUUCCUCCAUGGACGGCCUAAGCAAAGUGAGAAUCCGCAGAACCAUAUUCAUUCACUGUGCUCAUUUUGUUCUCUGCUUCUGCUAAAUUAUUUGGAAAUGAAGUAGGCAAGGUGCAUUGUUACUGAUGUUAUUUAUCCGGUAGCAAAGAAGAAUGUUGAAAAAGUCUGCUCACAAAUUCUAUAUGACAUUACAAUUAUACUAAAAGCUUAAACUCAACUCAAUUCAAGUUUUUCGGCAUACAAUUAUACGUGUCCUACUGUUGUUAAAAGUUUUCCAGAGCAGCAGAAGAUGAUUAUCCAGAGCAGCAGAAGAUGAUUAUCAAUGUACAAGUAUAGGAAACUCUCAAAAUCAAAUUGAGCAUUAGAUCCUGAUUAGUGCUUCUUAAUAAGGCAUUACAUAAUCAAAUAGCAAACAUACUCACGAAUCAAAUUACAUAAGAUUCCAUGGUCUCAAAGCAAAACUCACUAAUGAUCAAAUGGCUUCAAAUAAAACUUGAGAUAGUGAUGGAAAAUAAUUAAGAUUUGCAGCCUCACACAAGAAAGCAAGGGUUCUUCUAGGCGCAACUGGGUAAAAUCUUUCCGUCUCAGACUAGAUUCUGCAUGGCAAACAACAAAAUUGAAAUGAUAAUCAAACAGAAUUUCAAUACAAAAAUAUUGUGCUAUUGAAACUAACUAUAGCAGGCUUAGUAUUUAGUCCAUGGACAAAAAUACAUGGCCUUAACAAACUUGUGGAUAACAAGAGAAUAGUUCGUACUAGAAUAGUUUAUAUGAUGCAAGUUAGGGAACUCAAGGCAUAUAUAAAAAACGAAAAAGGAAAAACAAGGAGACCCAAAAAAAGAACUUUACAUACCUCCUUCCAAAACAACUAGGACAAGCUUUCACGACACAUCCCCAGUGACGUUUCGUAAAAAUGGUAGAUCUCAGGGAUGUGUUGUACCUUUUCACGAUCCACACCUCCUUCUCGUAUGGAAUCCCUAAGUUCCGUUGAUACAUGCUCCAAUGCCAAUACUUUUAGUUCAGCGAGGUAUUGAAGACCCUGUGGCAUUGUGCUUAGUUGUGGGCAGUUAUCAAGCCAUAAAGAUUGGAGAUUUGGCAUCACCCCUUUUUCUAUAGUUAUCUUGUUCAAUAAAGGGCAUGUACACAAAUGCAAUCUCGUAAGCUUUACAAACCCUCUGCUGAAACAUAACUCUCUGCCAGCAUAUGCAUUAAGUAGUGAAAGAUUUCCCAGAUUGGGCAGUGCUUCAAUGUAAGGUAGUAAAUCUUCUUCAAUUCUAGACCAAUGCAGAUACAAAUAUGUGAGGUUCUGGAGUGAAAAGAACCAACGUGGUACAUUUUCCAAUUUGCCAACCAAAAUAACCAUUCGAAGGUGGGGAGGAGGUGAGCAUAAUUUGUUUGUUUGAAGAACUUCCUCUUCAUCGCUUGUCAUUAGAAACAAGUAGUGAAGUUGCUUCAUCUUUUGAAUUGAAGCACAUAGGUCCAUCUCGUCUCUUUCUUUUACAUUCGUAAUUCCAAUCCUUCUAAGUUGGGUCAUAUUACCCACAAGUCUAACAAUGUUUCCUUCUAAUUCAACACACGUCAAAACUUGCAAUUUCUUCAAAAUACAUAUAUUUGAUGGUGAUCUUGUCCCAUUCACAUAUCUGAAGCCAUUAGGUUCUUGAGUGUAACGGUACAUAAUUAGAUGGCGCAAGUUUUGCAACUUGGCAAUUCCACUUGGAAGUGCCUCUAUCUUUGAGUUCAUGAUAUCCAAAGUUUGAAGGUUGCGGAGCUGCCCAAUGGAUUCAGGAAGCUUCUUAAUUGGAGUUCCCCUUAAAUUUAAGUAUCUUAAAUUGAAUAAGUACGCAAGUUCUUUUGGCAGUACAUCAAUUGGAACAUAUUGCAAAUCUAGCACCCUCAACAAUAUGAAUCCAGAAGGCAAUGUAUUCGAGGAAGAGGAUGAGGACAUGUCAGUAACAAACACAAGAAAAGAACGAAGUUGUGCCAUACCAGUGCCUAGUUUAAUUUCUCCUCCAGUGGUUUGAGUUGACAAGCGGCGCACUUGAACUUCGUCCAUAACUUCUUUUCCAUCAUGUACAGCACCGAACUUUUCUUUUUCUGAUAUAGACAGAGCAAGCUCCCGCAUAAGGUCGUGCAUCUUACAUGCUUUGGACCUUCCACUUUCAUUCCUCAGAACAACAUGUAGCAUGCUACGGAAAAUGAGCUGCAUAAGAUAGCUCUCAGCAACUUCUUCUGGUGUGGCACCUUUUUCAUCUUGGACAAACCCUUCAGCUAUCCACAACCUAAUGAGCCUCUUUCUUCGAAUCAAAUAGUCUUCUGGGAAAAGGGAACAGUAUAGAAAACAGUGCUUCAAUGGGUAUGGUAAAUCAUCAAAACUAAACAACAAGAUGCUCUUCACUGGCUCUAGUAACGGAUGGUUAGUUAGAUGCCAGUUUAAGCUGUUGUAGACUCUGAUCCAUUCUAAUGACUUCUUGGAAGACAUCAGACCACCUAAAGCCAUGACUGCCAGAGGUAGGCCUUCACACUUUUCAACAAGUUCCUCAGCCAAUGAUUGAAGAUCUGGUGGACAACUUUUCUUCUGGUAAGCUGAGAAUGCUUUGCUGCUGAAUAGCGCCCAAGCAUCAUUCUUUUCGAGGGGUUGAAUGUGGUGAAUAUGACUUUGUACUCCAAAAGAAUAGGAUGCUACGUCUUCUCUUCGAGUAGUAAGCAUGAUUCAACUUCCAAACUGUGUAUUUGGGAGUGCUAUCCUCAUUUCUUUCCAAAGUUUGAUAUCCCACACAUCAUCCAAUACAACCAUAUACCUUUUAGACUCCAAGUAAUUGACCAGCACCUGUAGCAGUUCUCUGUAUGUCAUGGAAUUCAUGUCUGCAGGGACCUUUUCCAUCCUUGCUUCAUGGAAUUGCUUAAUCAAGCUUCUAAGCAAGUCGUCAGUAGCAUAAGUUUGUGAAACAGUUAGCCAAGCACAACAGUGGAAUUGUUUCUUGACCCUUUCGUCGUUGAAGGUCUUUGCAACUAAAGUCGUCUUCCCUGAUCCGCCCAUCCCCACCACAGAGAUAAGCGUUUGCUGUUGCUCUCCAUUCAUCAACCAAUUCAUCAAUAGUUGCUUCUUUCUUUCAAUCCCCACGAGCUCAUCAUCCUUAAUAAAAAGAGAAGAUUCCGCUUGGUUCCGCAUCCAUUUGCCAACAUCAUCACAAGUACUACUUGUUCCUUCUAAUCCACCGACACCAUAUCUCUGAUUCCUCUCCGGAAUGGCUUUAAUCAUUCUUGAGAUUUUCCGCAACUUCUUUGACAUUUGACGUCUGAACCAAACAUUCUGCGGAAUGCGAAUAGUAUGGUGGAGCCACCUUGCAAAUCGGCCCUUAUGACAUCCUUGCUCAUACAUGUGAUACAUGAACUCGUCAAUGAUGUCUUCAACAUCAUAGGCCAUGCCUCUGACGCUUGCAACCCACGUCUCCCCACCUUCGGUGAGUGCCUUCUUGCCCUCAAAAUCAUUUAGGAAGGCCUUCAUGCUUACAAGCUCCUGCUUGAUGUCAUCAAUUUCAUCACGAACACCAGCUAUGGAGGAUGCUUCGUUCUCAAGGAUGGUCACAAUUUUGCCGAUCAAGAAGUCUGUUGGUAAGGCCAUAUUAGCCUUGUAUCCGAACAAGCUGCUCACAAUGGUAGAACGAAUUUGAAUAUAGAAAAGGUUGAAAAAUUAGCCAAAUGAAUCAAAUGACGAUUUCAGCUGGCAGUGGAAGCUCCUCCAGUGUGCAAGAAAUUUCAGUGAUUUGAAAUUGUAUUUUGAGCCCAUCAAUUUUUCAAUAUGUAACAGACUGAGACAAAGAUGUCUUUGUGGGAAGAUGGAAAGACUGGUCUUCUGUACAUCUGCUGGUUGCAUAUGUAAUAAUGUUGGAGAUCGAAGGAGGUUGUGUUGUUUGUACUCCAGCUUGGCUGAUUACAAAAUUCCUAUAGCUUUUACUGCUGAAAGUCUUUAAUUUUUAUCAUCAAGAGUGAGUUGUAUGUUGACUUUGAAUAUUAUGCUCGAUUGCUGACUUUGAAUCCACAGAACCAUAUUCAUUCACUUUGCUCAUUUUGUUUGCUUCUUGAUAAAUUAUUUGGAAAUGGAGUAGGCAGGGUUUUCAUUUUCUCCCUGAUUUCACCAUUCCACUUGCCUUGCAUUGUUAUUAUACUCUCACGUUAUUUAUCUAUCUGGUAGCAAAUGUUGAAAAAGUCUUCAAAUUUAGUAGCAAAGAAUGAAUUGUCAAUUGCUCACGAAUCAUAUUAAAAGCUUAAACUCAUAACUCAAUUUAAAAGGCAAUAUAUUUUCAUAGAAGCAGCUCAUUACAUGCUUGAAAGUUGGAAGGAUGGAGUGGACUUGCACGUUAGAGAACCCCAACAAAUAUUUAAACCACCCACAUGUCCCAUAUAGUAAUACAAGUGAGGGAAUAUUUGCAAUUUGGUGUGAUUAAGAAAAGAUUUCUAAUUUCUUUAAUGGGUUAUUUACAGUAACACCCUCCACGAGGGUUCAAAAAUUAUAACACCACCCUUUAGGAAUGAGUUGUGUCUCAAUAUAGGCUUCGGAAAGCUUACACAUUUGGAGUUGCUUAGAGUCUGUCUUUAACGUUUUCAUAUAAUGUUUUUAGAGAAUACUUUUUUAAAAUGAAAACAAGAAAACAAAUUUGCAUUUCAAAAUUCGAGCUACAAAAAGCAAGCUAAAUCCGUGUAUAAGUUCGCAAGCUGCAUAAUGCAUGUAUGGUUAAUUUAUUUGAUAAUCAUAUUUCAGUUUCGUUGUAAUAUCUGUUGCAGAAUCAAAUUGUAGAAGUACUGAUCUUCUUUUCUUUCUUCUUGUUAAUCAAAGCCGCCAUGUUGAUAAUGUUGGAGACUGAAGGUUUUUCACCCAAGCAGCCAUAUGUUGUGCUGUUUGAACUUUUUUUUUUAUUUGAUGGGGUGCUGUUUUAUUUACUUAUGUAUUUUAACAGGUGGGGUGUUGUUUUAUUCAGUAGCGACGUUUUUGUCAUCCUUCCAGAGAUUGUUGACAAAUAUUUGGUCAGGCGAGAAGACAAGUUCUUCAUGGACUUGCAGCAAUUAAUUGUAUUUGUUUUGUGAAUUUUCAUAUCCUGGUAAGAUAUAAUAUCCAGCCAAUAAAGCUAGACUUGAUGAGGUCUUUUUAUUUAUCAAACAAUGUGUCAAACUGUCAAGAUACGUCAUUCUCAUACAGAGCAGUGCGCCAAAUAGAUCUCAAUUCAUAUAUGGUGGUCCUUGUUUAACUCGGAAAAAGGCAAAGUCAUUUGUGUAACAGAAACAACAUGCUAGUACAAGGGAAUUUCUAAGAGUCUCGAACAUGAGCAAAAUUCAGUCAGUUCCUUCUCAAAGGUGUCCUUAAACAUUUCAGACAAAGUAAAUUAUAAAGAUCCUUACCAUAGGACCUGAUAGUGUUACAUAGAUCCAACGAUACUUGACAAUGGAACAUGGUAGUGGCGGCAAUGCAAAAGGGAAAAGAUCACAUAUGACACUAUGUUUAGA